GAGGGGGAUUGAGAAAGAGAGGGAGAGAAAGGGAGAGAGAAAAGGAGAGAGACCUCACUCAUUAGCAUUCCACAGCCAUGGACUAAACGCUGACAACUAACAGAGAUAUCCAGCUCUACACCACUGCAUGCAUUUUCCCCCCUUUGUCUUCUUUCCCCUGGCCCUUCAUUUCCAGCGGACAGAUCUCUCGUCACAGCCAACACACUUUUAUUUAUGCCCUCUCCACUCCUUUUGCACGAAUGGACCCCUUGCACAAGAGAGAAAACCUUCGAGCAAAGCAGAGAAAAAGGGGGGAGUGAUGUUGUAAAAGCUGUGCAGAAGUGACAGCGCUAAGCACACUGGCUUUACUUGAGAGAGAUACAAUUGUGUGUGACUUGACAAAAUAGAAGUGGGAGAAGUUUUUAAAUUGCAACCUUAACUGCCAUUAUUUAGAUAAUUUAGGAUGACAAUUUGCAGCUUAUAUGGGUUUUUAUGAGAAGGCAUAUAUUAAUCGUUUUUAAUUUCCACCUAGGUGAGUGUUUCUAUAUUUAGACUGCUGAUUUAUUUUUAUUUUUUUACCUUUAAAACGUCUGCAAAGCAGUUUUCUAUUCAGGCUGAGAUUUAAGACUUUGUUAUAAUAUAAUGUGAGGAAUUAAAAAAAACAUACACACUUAUUAAUGCUAUAAAAAAAACAGAAAUAUCUAAAUCUCGGGAUAUUUUAAAGUUGUGUUGGGUUUUUACAUUAAUUUAAAAUGAUUAGUGUUGUGAAAACUAAAUACAUUUUUUUUAAAUAAAUAAAUAAACUUUAAAGAUUUCGCCGAGUAAUUAGGAGACCACCAAUGACAUAAUUUAGACAAGCUCCUUUUUUUUUCUUCAAGAUGACUAUAUCUUAAUAUGCGCCAAAGUCUCUCCCAACAAUGACAGCUGUUCAUCUGAUAGUAACUUCUUUCCAAGUUUUCUCCCCUCCCACCCCGGGGCCCCCGGUCUCUGUCUUGCUUUGUUGUUUUAAAAUAUGCAUGUCUCUCCGGAAUGCCAGUCACGGGUCCAAACUUUGUGUGUCCCAACCUCCCACAUGAUGAAAUGAUCCUUUUAAAGCGGGCUCAAUAUGUCUCAAUCUGCACUCCUCUUCCCUCUCUAAAGCUUCUUGGGUUCGGGACACAGCCCAGAAAUAUAUUAAUUAAAGCGCACUGCUGCGGACUUUUUAGCACCGAGGAAGAAGCGGUUGGAUCAAGUCAAGCUCUGUCAACGACGUAUGGAUGAAGAUUCAUGGCAGGAAAAGGAAAAAAAAAAAGUAAAAAGCGAUCAAUGCUGCAGCACUCUCUCGUUCACCCUGAACUGGCGGUGAACUCCUCCGGAAUGCCGCCAGCUUCUCCACCCUAUCCCAUCGCGGUUCAGGGUCAUCAGGAGGGUGUCUCUGUGCCAAUAUGCAGAUGAGCCUGUGCCCCUCCAGUGACUCUGGUUUUAGGCUCCACCCCUCUAUAUGGUGGAGGCUUUGAAACGAAGUCUACUCCCCCAGAUUACACUCGCGCACAUAAAACCCACCCUCACGCAGACUUAAACGGGCCUUUAACAACUUACAUCCACUCUUCCUGUAAUGGCCAAAGUGUGUUGAACCUAAUGGAUGUUGUCAAAGCUGAGAUGUUACCCCUGAUUUAGGGAAGACGUGAGCAGAGAGAAUAUACAUCAGAUGAGCCUGUAAUAGAUUUAAAACACGUGGAAAUCGAUGAGGUGUCACCUGGCUGUGUGCGUGUGUAAAAAGAAUUCAUGAAGACACAAUAAGAACAAUUUUAUCAUCAACAUUAGCCCCUCACUGAAAAAGUUGUUGAGUUGAUAAGCAAACUCCUUGAUGAGCCAUUGAAUUAAUGUGUUGGCAAAACCACAUGUAAUGGAGCCAGAGCUCUCUCAUUGUCAUGAUUUUAAUUAUAACUUGUAUCUUGUAUUAAGCUUAAAAAAAAAAAACUUAAUAAAGUACAGUGUGUGUUUGUGUGCUUUAUUGCAUUAACUAUGAAACUAUUACGUCACAUGUGCUAAUUUUAACAGGUUUAUUGUAACUACAUUAAUAUAAUAAAGUUUAUUUUAAAUGCAA